AGAGGUGACCAGUCCCGGAAAAGAGCUGGGGAUGAGUUGGCUUAUAACAGCUCAUCAGCAUGUGCAAGUUCCAGAGGGUACAGAUAGUGAAUGUAUUGAAUGUACUUUCCUUCCCGAAAAGAGGACACACUGGAGCUGCAGAGACUGUAUUCGGAGCACAGCGGGGGGGGGCCUGCAGACACUCAGGAGCUCUGUCACAAAGUUGUUCUUGGAAGAGGAUAUUGGACUUCUUACUUUGGUUUGUAAUUUUAAAAAACAAAAAAACUAACAAAAAAAACAGUUGCUGCUAGACUUGGGGAUGAUUUUGAAAUGGGACAAUCUUUUAAUGAGUUUAUCUACAGAUUCCAUGAGGAACAAACGUCUUGAAGAGUGACCAUUGCUAAGGGAAAUCCAGCAGCCAACAUCAGCAGCUUCCUCCAAAAAUACAAGAGUAGAAGAAUUUUUUUUUUUUUUUUUUCAUUUUAAAGCACUUGUUUUUUUCAUUUGUGGACUUGGCACUUCAGCAUAUUGGCUUUACACAUCAGGAUCUCUUUUGCUUUAAAAUCAAGCAGAUCAUUACAAUACAGUGUUUUUCACUCAUUACCAAAACAAACCCCUUUUAAAAGAGUUGGUCUUUGUUUAGCAUUAGAAAGUCUUGUUAAAGGAAAAUGCUAACUUGGCUUCUGCUAUAACUUUUCCCUUCACCAGUUCACAACUUUUUUCUACUGUGUGCCUUGAGCUUUGUGCACUUUGCAACUCUGUGACCAUGAUGUUCAACUCACAAAUGCUUCCUGAAAAAGUUUAUGGUAUCACAGACUAACCCACUACGUUGUCAGGUGUGACUUUGUAGCAGGAUGCUAAGUAAGUGGGAAAAUAGAAGUGUGUUGCUCAUUGGUCACAUCUCCCCCUGCCUCACCGUGGCAUAUUCAUGUUAAUGUUGGGGACCAGCUCUUGUAGAACAUAUCCAUUCCCUCUGUCACUUCACAUGAUUUCACCAGCUGCUGGAGUAUUGGCAUGAAGCUAGUGUAGGGGUGGGCUGUACUUUAGCACUAAGCUCCCUUUUUAGUAUUGUGGAGAAAUUUCCAGUGGUAACAGCUAGUUACUGUGAUGCUCUAGGAAGCAGAUACGGUUAUUAAAUCCAAAUAUAAUAAUUGGUGUGGGCUUCCGGAUCCAUUUCAUUUUAAAUGGGUGAGUAGGUACUUUUUAAAAAAAAAGUCUGCAGUUUGCAUCUUUUAUAGCAUUAUAUUCAAGUAUAAUAGAGAAGUAGCACUGCUGUUUCAAGCUUCCUUCCACCUAUGACACAGCUGUAUUUUAUUUUUUUCCUGCACCCACAGUGCUGUUUAGUUUCUUACAAAAGAGUCCAAAGCUUAUUCUAGUUGUUUUUGGAAGGCAAAGAAAAAGAUGUGGCAGGUGAAAAUAUUUUUCUUCCCAAUUUUGUUUGACUCUAAAUUGAGCAUAUGCUUGAUUCUGUUUGGCUAUGUCACACUAAUAUUUACCUCUUCAGAGAACUUGGGGCAAAACAAGAUGUAUCAGGGAUAGUGUCACACUUCUGAUUGUCAGGUUUCUCAUAUAGUUGCCUCUGCCGAUUCAGUUUGUCUUUUUUCAGGAGCAGGCUGGAUGGGAGAGUUUGAAGUGUGAUGAUAGGAGCAAGGAAGUCAUCUAAUAGAAGUCCUCUAUUUGUAAAAUUAUUGUUCUGAGAAGUAAACGUAAAGGGUGUCAGAUUUAUUUUUUAAGUACUUAACCAGAGUUGUGGAUUUUGCAGAGGACUUUGAAUUGGACUUGUUUAACUCUGUGAGCAUCUUAGAUUGUAUUGAUAAACACUGAAUUACUGUAAGAAUAUAUACAGGCUCUCACUGUGCCCUGUACAGGUUGAUUUGCUACCCCAGUAACAUUGUGGUGUCGAGGAAGAAUUGCAUUCCAUCGUGAAGUCCAAAUUUACUCCUUGCCAUGGAGUGCUCGCUACGGGCUUAUAAAUUAACACCUGUGACUAACGUCUCUCCUGAGUGGUUUUAAUAAUACUUCUGAAAGGAAUAAAAUUGGGAUGAUUCUUUAAAUGUGGAUGAAUUCUUCAUUAUCCUAAUAAUGUGCCCAAAUGCUUUUUCUGGGAGAGUAUUCUUUGGCCAACAAUGAAACUUUCUCUGUAAAAGCAUUGUAUUAAGAUGUGAACUGGCAUUAAAAUCUUCUGAAGCUUUUGCAUUAUUAAGUUAGUGGAGAAAGAUUCUAUAUUGUCUUCUUUUUAUUAUUAUUAUGUAUGUGUUAACAAAAAGUGGGCCAAGUUUGCAAAAUUUAGUUUCUCUGAAUAUUUGCGCAGCGACUGCAGCUCGCAGUGGGCCAGGGCUUGGUACUGCAAAGCCGGGAGUGGGAGGCACUACAGAAAUCGUACACGUGUCCUCCUAGUGCAUGUGACUUGCUGUUACUCACCUUGGCCCCUUGAGGUACGUUGCAGGAUGAGAAACCUAUUUCUUUAUUUUAAGUAGAAAUUGACCUUGCUUAUUUAAUUGGGUUUAACAAAAUUGUUGGUUUGCAACAUGAGAGGAAAUAAGAUUUGCCCUCCAUUUUGUAUUGACUAAGCCCGGUCUGCCAGAAAGUAUUUUCUUCUCAUGUUUACUUGUAUUCUUCUUGCCAGUACAGUAUCUAGUUUUUCCAGCCCAGUUAAAUCCUAGCUUUUGUGGGGCCCAAAUCACGGAGGACAGAAAAUUGUACACUGAUUGUCUCAUUAGGCUACAUGCAGUUGAUCCGGCGAGCCCGACUGGUGUGUAUGUGCAGCCCGAAGCUAGACUCCCCAAAAGAAAGGCAGCUCGGUCACCUUGGAACAAUGACCCGUCAAAGUAAAUGACGAUGGUUUUGAGAGACGGUACUUACUUUAAAAGUUGGCCUUAUGCUUCAGUAACAGUGUCCUCUCCUGGUCUCUGUUGUCACAGCUGCACCCUAACCUGACAGGAGCUACUGCUUUGUUUUCUGUGGGGCGGAAGGCAAAACUUCAUAGAGUGUGACUCUUAAUCUAGUAGUUCUUAGGUAGAUUUAGAAGAAACACAAACCUGGAUGCAUGAGUUGUGCAUUAUUAAAUUUUGUGGGAAAGUUAUUUUUUUUUUCCUGUCCCUACUACAAGUUUGAGGCAGUUCCUCUCCCUUUCUUUGGGGUAUAGGAUGGAAACUGGGCAGUAAGUGAGACAUCAGGAGAAUGGGCGCCCCUGGCGUUGCUGUGCGCGUCUCCAGUGCCCCAGCCACGUAAGCCACACUCCCCUGGAGUGCAGAUGCCGUGGCUGCAGACGCCGUGCUUUCUGUUGGGUUGCAAAUUUGCACACAUGAAGAAUUCCUCAGGAAGAGUUUGCACAUGCAUCGCCUUGCAAUAUUCGUUACUGACCGAACAAGGGACUU